UGCAGUCGAACGAAAAGCGAUGGACGCUUGCUUCUAUCAAUCUUAGUGGGGAACGGGUGAGUAACGCGUAAUCAACCUGCCCUUCAGAGGGGGACAACAGUUGGAAACGACUGCUAAUACCGCAUACGAUCCAAUCUCGGCAUCCAGACUGGAUGAAAGGUGGCCUCUAUUUAUAAGCUAUCACUGAAGGAGGGGAUUGCGUCUGAUUAGCUAGUUGGAGGGGUAACGGCCCACCAAGGCGAUGAUCAGUACCCGGUCUGAGAGGAUGAACGGCCACUUUGGGACUGAGACACGGCCCAGACUCCUACGGGAGGCAGCAGUGGGGAAUCUUCCGCAAUGGACGAAAGUCUGACGGAGCAACGCCGCGUGAGUGAUGACGGCCUUCGGGUUGUAAAGCUCUGUUAAUCGGGACGAAUGGUUCUUGUGCGAAUAGUGCGAGGAUUUGACGGUACCGGAAUAGAAAGCCACGGCUAACUACGUGCCAGCAGCCGCGGUAAUACGUAGGUGGCAAGCGUUGUCCGGAAUUAUUGGGCGUAAAGCGCGCGCAGGCGGAUUGGUCAGUCUGUCUUAAAAGUUCGGAGCUUAACCCCGUGAUGGGAUGGAAACUGCCAAUCUAGAGUAUCGGAGAGGAAAGUGGAAUUCCUAGUGUAGCAGUGAAAUGCGUAGAUAUUAUCAAGAACACCAGUGGUGAAGGCGACGUUCUGGACGAAAACUGACGCUGAGGCGCGAAAGCCAUGGGAGCGAACGGGAUUAGAUACCCCGGUAGUCCUGGCCGUCAUACGAUGGGUACU
rnacentral:rRNA from 1 species